AACGCGAAGAACCUUACCAGGAUUUGACAUGCCCCACGCGGACGCUUGAAAGAGCAUCCUUCAGUUCGGCUGGAGGGAGCACAGGUGCUGCAUGGCUGUCGUCAGCUCGUGUCGUGAGAUGUUGGCCAAUUCUUUAAAUAAUAAGUUUGGCCCGCAACGAGCGCAACCCUCGUCCUCUGUUGCUCACAGGUCAUGCUGAGAACGUCUUCCGGAAACUGCCGGUGAUAAGCCGGAGGAAGGUGGGGAUGACGUCAAGUCCUCAUGGCCCAAACUUAUAUUAUAGGUGGGCAUCCUAGGCUACACACAUGUUACAAUGGUGGUGACAAUGGGUCGACCAAAUAUUUGUUUAAGAUUGGCGCAAGGGCUAGCUAAUCCCCAAAAGCUACCUCAGUUUGGAUUGUACUGAAGCAACUCGAGUACAUGAAAUUGGAAUCAGCAGUCAAUCGUAGAUCAGCACGCUACGGUGAAUACGUUCCCGGGCCUUGUACACACCGG
rnacentral:rRNA from 1 species